rnacentral:lncRNA from 1 species
UCGAAAACCACACAAGAGGGCUUCUUUUAAACAUUACAUCAGACUCAGUCUUUGUUUUAUUGGAACUUACCAAAAGCACUCAAAAGCAUGAGCACCAUCGGCUAGGAGUCUUUAGAUUCCCCUUUUAGCACAAUCUCUAGGAAUUACGAUUUGAUACACCUCUUACUUGGCCUCGACCACCAUAUCCAUAGUCGCCGCCGCCGCCACCACCACGAGGUCCACUAUAACCGCCACAUGAAUGAACGUUACCGCAGAAAGCUUCUCUCAUUUGCCAAAACUCUAGCAUUUUCAUCACCCGUAUUCAUCUCAAUAAAGUUCGUCCAUGCAAAAUUCUUACGUCCAUUUAAUUAUGCUUACAUGGACAUGCUUCUUUUAAUGGAUUCUUAUAAACAAAUUUCCAAUUUCAACAAAGCUAUUUACAAUGGGCGUGAAAUCUUGCAACCUGCGAGAGUGAAAGAGGAGAUCAGAGCAAUAAUUAAGGAAAUACAAUCUCACAACAUCCAUUUAGAAGAAUUUCUCUCCAGAUUCAUACAAUAAACAUACAUAUAGCUCAAUUUCUCUCCAGAUUCAUCAAUUCCACUGCAGAUUUUAGAGAUUUAAAGUGAACUGAUCCAAAUAUUUCCAGAUUCAAAGGAAGAAAAAGAGAGAUUGAAGAAUCUAGAUGACAACCCCAGAAAUCCAGAUUUGAGGAAUCCAGAUGACAAUGUCGGAACCAGAAAAAGAGCGCUCGAGGAAUUCUUUGGAAACCAAGAAUCCUAGGGAAAUAAAACAACAUUCUCGCUCAAUGACAAAAGAGAGAUUACUGUUUUUGAACCCUUAAACUAAUGCCAAAAUGAUCUCCUCUUCUUCUCUUUAGCUGCUUAUAGAGACCGGGCGCUUGGUAAUGAGUUUCACUGCAUUGGUAAUGAGUUUCAAAUAUUAUUUUUAACAUUACAAGUAGAGAGAUCUAGGAUAUAAAUGAUUUACUAUCCAUCGGGAUUGUACUAUAUGGUUACGAAACAGCAUCAAAUGAUUUAGCGUCCACGCAAACAUGAACAUGUGGAUAUCCCAUCCUCUUAUAAACACUUUUGCAGUUUUUCGGUGUAUCAUUUCAAUAGUUUAAAAUGAUUUAAUGUCCAUAGGGAUUGUACUAUGUGGUUAUGAAUCAGUUCCAAAUGAUUUUGUAUCUUUGUAAUUUAGCUUUUCGUGUGACUCAGCUAAUCAAUCCUUCUUUCGUGCGUUGUAUCAAAACUUCAAGCAGCUUAGGAUCCAAAAACUUCAAGCAGCUUAGGAUAGACACUUGGUUUACAGUGUUGCAACAAAGCUCUGCCUAGGUUCUACUCUACCUGUCACCUAGAUUACAUAGCAAAACAUAACCAGCCAUAUCAAAGGUUAAUACUUUCAACUAAAAAACUACAGUUCGAAGAUAAUCCAGUAGAUACCAUAAGAGAGAUUCAGGUGAGAUGAUUUGCAACUGAUUUAUGUAUAUACCAUAAGAGAGAUGCAGAGUCAACACAAACAAGCUACACAAAGUAGUAACAAUAAAGAGUUAUAAGCGUUUAAGUAUAGCAAACAAACAAAACAGGAGAUAGCAAUACUGUAGGACAACUAGUUAGCAACUAAAAGGAGUAAAAACUUUUAAAGAUCAAGACCUUGAUAUCCUCACAAAGUCACAAACAUUCACAAAUUCGAAAUCCAAAUUUUGAGGUUUCAAGGGAAGAGAUAACUCGCGUAAUUGUAGACUUAGAAAUCAUCAAUGAAAAACGUGACACUUCCCAAAUCAAAGGUCAAAGCUUCAUCUAACCGAUGAACAAUCGCCUCAAAUUCCAAAAUCCAUCUCAAAUACAUAAAAAUAAGGUGAAGAUCAACAGGGUAUCGUCUUCCUUUUUUUUGUUUUAUUAUAGCCACAGUUUUACUUGCGUUGAAUAAUUCCGUUUAUCUAAAAGACAAGAAAUCAAACGACAACAUCAAUUACAUAUCCACUGCAUAUGCCAUGGAAUCAUCGAUUACAUAUCCUUCGGUUUGUUGCAUUUUUCCCAAUCGAACUUCAAGCAAAAACAAAAUCGAAACAAUCAAAUGUUGUAUGGGAAAGGAAUAAGAUCUGGAAAAACAAUGAAGCAAGAGAAUUACUUUUUAGGGUUGAGAAACAUAAUAGCUGGUUGACUUUUUAGCUGUGGCACAGAAGAAAUUGAAGAGACAACCCAUGGCUUCGAUGAAAUCGGAAGAGAGAAAAAGGAACAGCAAUGGAAGAAGCUACUGAGAUUUUCCGAGAAAGAUAGGAAAAGUCGAGAGUGAAAGAAUUGGUGGGUAUGAGUCAAUUGUUUUCAAAUUUGAAAUUAUCUGAUGGAAAUCACGGUAAUGAGAUAAGUCCAGAAAUGG